ACCAGACUCCUACGGGAGGCAGCAGUGGGGAAUAUUGGGCAAUGGGCGCAAGCCUGACCCAGCAACGCCGCGUGAAGGAAGAAGGCUUUCGGGUUGUAAACUUCUUUUCUCAGGGACGAAUAGAUGACGGUACCUGAGGAAUAAGCCACGGCUAACUACGUGCCAGCAGCCGCGGUAAUACGUAGGUGGCAAGCGUUAUCCGGAUUUACUGGGUGUAAAGGGUGCGUAGGUGGUUUGGCAAGUUGGUAGCGUAAUCCCGGGGGUCAACCUCGGUGCUACUCCCAAAACUGCUGGGCUUGAGUGCAGGAGGGGUGAAUGGAAUUCCUAGUGUAGCGGUGGAAUGCGUAGAUAUUAGGAAGAACACCAGCGGCGAAGGCGAUUCACUGGGCUGUAACUGACACUGAGGCACGAAAGCGUGGGGAGCAAACAGGAUUAGAUACCCCCGUAACA
rnacentral:rRNA from 1 species